UACGGGGGGAGCAAGCGUUGUUCGGAUUUACUGGGCGUAAAGGGCGCGUAGGCGGCCACCGCGAGUCGAUUGUGAAAUCUCCGGGCUUAACCCGGAAAGGUCAACCGAUACUGCGGGGCUAGAGUGCAGAAGGGGCAACUGGAAUUCUCGGUGUAGCGGUGAAAUGCGUAGAUAUCGAGAGGAACACCUGCGGCGAAGGCGGGUUGCUGGGCUGACACUGACGCUGAAGUGCGAAAGCUAGGGGAGCGAACGGG
rnacentral:rRNA from 1 species